GUGAGAUUUCAAUUCCUUCUUCAUUUUUGGCCUUGGGGGGUUUUAAUACUUUGUUGAGAGUACAGAUCUUCAUUUAAAUAGAUAUUUAUUAUGUCUUACUCUGUAUUUCUAGGUGUUUAUGGUAAUUAGAAAGGCUUAGAAAAAGGUUAUUAUGGUAUAUAACCUCCAAAUAUAGCAAUGAUUUUUCCCAUUUUUAUAUGCUUACACUGUUUCUUCCAUCAGUAAGCUGAAUCUGUUUUGCCUCCUUCUGUGUUUUAGCCAAUAGGAUGUGGUAGGAAUAAUAUUCUGGGAUUUCUGAGCCAGGAUCCUAAGAGUUCCAUCAACUUCUGCUUUCUUUCCCUUGGAUCCUGGCUACCAUGCUAUAAGAAAAUGCAGGCUAGACUAAUGACUGAUUAGUGCCCACAGGGAGAGAAGUGCUGGGGGACCAGAGGGCGUCUUUGGACAUACCGACUCCACCCAGCCCAACUCUCAGCUAAAUGAAGUAGCCAUCCUAACAAUGUGGAGUGGUAGCUCAUCGUGGUUUUGAUAUGCAUUUCCCUGGCAUGUUGGUUUUUAUGACCUUCUUUCCAAUGUUUGUUAUUACUUCUUCUAAAGGAGCCAGACAUCCCAAGACAUAGAAAGCAGAGAAACGGAGGUACCACGGAAAUCACACAAUAUGUUGGUGCAGUAGCUGAAUAGAGGACUUUUCAGAUUCUGAGCAUUCAGCGUGUUCAUUCCUGACUUAAUAUGAAUUCACCAGGGGUGGUGAGCAAGGAACAUGGUGGCUGUACUAAAUGCUCCUUUAGUGUUAAUUCAUUUAUACCUUUAAGAAUUCUUUGAGACGGAAGCUUUUAUUAUCAGCUGCAACAACUGAAGACCAGAGAAGGUAAGGGAUUUGCUGUUAAUUUACAGUAAGUGUGGAGCUAGGAUUCAAACCAGGCAGAGCCCAUGUUAUUACUCAUUGCCUCACACUGCCUCUCAAGAUAGUGGAAGGCCUUGUACUUUUAAACAUAUUGGAACAUAGUGAUUCUAGAGAAAGCAGUCACUUUGCUCUGACAUGUGUAAAACUCUGUAUCAGUGAAUUAAUCAGCGUUCUCCAGAGAAACAGAAGAGGACGUGUAUGAAUACAAAUACAUAAAUAGAGAGAUUGAGAGAGAGCGACUGAUGGGUUUUAAUGAACUACCUUAUAUGAUUGUGGAGGCUUUCAGUUUCUGGUAAGUUCAAAACUUCAGGGUAGGUGGGGAGGCUGGAGACCCAGGGGAGAGCUGCAGUCUGAUCCCAAGGCAGUCUUUUGGCAGAAUUUCUUCUUGCUUGGAGGAAGUUAAGUCUUUGUCUUGGUAAGACCUUCAACGGAUUGCGUAGGACCCACCUGUAUGAGGAAGAGUAAUCUGCUUUACUAAAAGUCUAUCAAUUUAAAUUGGUCUCAUAUAAAAAGCACAGUCAUGGACACAUCCAGAAUGACAUUUGACCACAUAGUUGAAUGCUAUGACUCAGCCAGAUUGACCCAUAAAAUUAACCACCACAAUCAGACAAUAUCAGGGGGCAGUUUUCCUGAUGAUCACUACACCCUCAUCUGACCCUCCAGUCAGAAUGGGGCCAAAGCUUCAGUUUCUGGGUGUGAAUUAGCCCUUAGAGCCUUGCCUUUAUAAUCUCAUGGGCUGUGUGAGGUAGAGGGCUAUCCCCAGGACUGUCUAUUGUUGGCUUUACUUAUCUUGAGCAUACUGUUGGGGAUCUGACCCUGCAGUCAGGGUCCAUCUUUCCUCCACUAGUCAUUUGUCCCAGCUCUGGGUUAUGAACGAUCUUCACUGUGGAUUUUCUCCGUGGUCUGAUCAUGCAUUGAUGCUCUCCUCCAUUUGACCUUCCCUCGGACACGCACCUGAUUUUGCUUUCCUGCCCUGUGUGGCUGGUUCUCUCUGCUUCUCAAGGUGACUAAUCCAAGAAACCUAGAAAUUCUAAACAUAAUUCCUAACUUCCAUGGGCACAAGGGAAGCAAAGCUAAAUUGUCAACUCUUUUAAAUUUAGGUCUUCUAGUUUAAGCCUCUCUGGAGAUCAUGCUGGGCACUUAUUAGUUGUUCAAUAAACUGAUGAAUCUAUUUAUAACUUUGGCUGACUCCUUUGGCUUUUCUGUUUUCUCGUCUAUAAAAUUGUGAUAAUAUUACUUGACUUUUCAGGU